AAUCAACGCUGGCGGCGUGCCUCAGACAUGCAAGUCGAACGAUUAAACUUCCCUUCGGGGAAGAUAUAAAGUGGCGCACGGGUGAGUAACACGUAGGUAAUGUACCUUUGGGUGGGGAAUAACUUAGGGAAACUUAAGCUAAUACCGCAUAAUGCAGCGGCUCCUUCGGGAGACAGUUGUUAAAGAUUUAUCGCCUAAAGAGCAGCCUGCGGCAGAUUAGCUAGUUGGUAAGGUAACGGCUUACCAAGGCUACGAUCUGUAUCCGACCUGAGAGGGUGGUCGGACACACUGACACUGAAUAACGGGUCAGACUCCUACGGGAAGCAGCAGUCGGGAAUUUUGGGCAAUGGGCGAAAGCCUGACCCAGCAACGCCGCGUGAAGGAUGAAGUCUUUCGGGAUGUAAACUUCGUAAGAAUAGGAAGAAUAAAUGACGGUACUAUGUGUAAGGUCCGGCUAACUACGUG
rnacentral:rRNA from 1 species